CCUCUAUUCUUUCUCCUCUUUUUUGUUGUGCUUGCCCAAUUGGUAAACCCUAAUUUAUGUUGCCGUCGUUCUUCAAUUGGGACCUGCUGUCGCUGCUCCUAUUUCUUGAUCGGAGAUUGGAUAAGGCGCAUUGAAGUUGGCUAAGGCAUGCGAUGACCUGGAUUGGCCGGGCUCGUCGAGUGGAUUCGGGAGACGUUAUGAUCGGUGUCGGCCUUGAGGGCGUCAUACUUGAGAGUGGUGCCACGGGAUUUAUGGUCGGGAGUCAGUGAGUGCGGGUCAUCAAAUCGGGGAAUGAAGGAGAUGGUGAGAUUGACGGUCAGCAGACAUUGAUCGGCGAGCUUGAGAAUGAGAUGUUCAGAGAGGUUGGCGGUCGGCAGGCACUAUUUGGCGAAUUGGGGAUCGAGAGGGACGACAUGGUCGGCUCAUCUGGUGAAGUCGGCAAUAUUGACCCGCUGCUCCCUCACGAAUCGGUUGGUCGGCGUAGAUCUGAGCCUUCGAAAUUCGCCAAACAGUAGAUAUGAUAGGAGAGGUGUGUUUGGUUUGGUUGUUUUAUGCUUAAUUUUCAAUUGUUUUAGCUAAGUUGUUUCAAUGUUUAUUAGCUAUUGACCCCAACCGAGUCUUCUUCUGCAUUGUGAUGCUACUUUCUUUAGUGUUUUAUGGAAUAAUUAUUGCAUUGAUCUGAUGUUCGAGGAUGAUCCCUAUUUACUAAAGAAAGUAAUGGAAAGCUCAAAGCCUUGCCACGUCGAAUCUUCUUGCUGAAGCAAAAAGUCCUCUUUCACUUCUUAAAAAGCCAAAGUUACCGAAACAACGAAUCGAAGGAAGACCCAAAACUUCCUAUGCUUUCUUUAAAACCGAGAAAACAUCUAUCAUCCACAAGUCACUGAAGAACAGAUCCAAAGAGACUUAACCAUGAACAAGUUCGACUGGGACCAUCCACUUCACCUCCAACUCAUUAUUCCAACCACUGUGAAACAAGUCUCAGUCGCUUGGGACGCUUAUGCUGCCACCAAAGACGCUCACGGAAUCUCUUGUUAACUGAGUGGGAGGAUUUUAAGACACUUGACUAUGAGCGGAUCUUUGAAAAUAUGCAGAAACCAGCAUUUGUCUUCGAUGGAAGAAAUGUUGUUGAUGCAGAGAAACUGAAGAAGAUAGGGUUUAUUGUUUACUCUAUUGGUAAGUCAUUGGACCAGUGGCUCAAGGACAUGCCUGCUCUUGCUUAGCUUUGAGUCUUAUUCUCAAGAUUUGGAUUCCUUUUUCUCUCUAUAUAUAUAUAUAUAUGUUGGUUAUAUCAAAUCAUUUGUUCUGUUUCUUUUUGAUGAGACAUUUUCCAAUACUUAUCAUAUGUUUGGUUAGAAUGAGAGACUAGAUUUGGUUAUCAUCGCUAACUACCUUGUACGUUGGAUAUCAAAUUUGUAAGCUUCUCAAGCCAUUUUCAAUAUAGAAACCUUUUACUGUUUCUGA